rnacentral:piRNA from 1 species
UGCCCUUUUUGUGUAUUGAAUGCCAGGG